rnacentral:rRNA from 1 species
CUACGGAGGGUGCAAGCGUUACUCGGAAUCACUGGGCGUAAAGCGCGCGCAGGCGGAUUGGCAAGUUGGAUGUGAAAGCCUGCUGCUCAACCGCAGAACUGCGUCCAAAACUGUCAGUCUAGAGUCUGGGAGAGGUAGCUGGAAUUAGUGGUGUAGGGGUAAAAUCCGUAGAGAUCACUAGGAAUACCGAAAGCGAAGGCGAGCUACUGGAACAGUACUGACGCUGAGGCGCGAAAGCGUGGGGCGCAAACAGGAUUAGAAACCCCGGUAGUCC